GGAAAUGGUAUAUAUAAAUACCAGUUAUAUCAUAUAAAGGACAAGGGAAUGGUAUAAAUAAAUACAAAUGAUAUGAUGUAUAGGACAAGGGAAUGGUAUAAAUAAAUACCAGUUAUAUGAUAUAUAGGACAAGGGAAUGGUAUAAAUAAAUACCAGUAUAUGAUAUAUAGGACAAGGGAAUGGUAUAAAUAAAUACCAGUGAUAUGAUGUAUAGGACAAGGGAAUGGUAUAAAUAAAUACCAGUUAUAUGAUGUAUAGGACAAGGGAAUGGUAUAAAUAAAUACCAGUUAUAUGAUAUAUAGGACAAGGGAAUGGUAUAAAUAAAUACCAGUGAUAUAAUGUAUAGGACAAGGGAAUGGUAUAAAUAAAUACCAGUUAUAUGAUAUAUAGGACAAGGGAAUGGUAUAAAUAAAUACCAGUUAUAUGAUAUAUAGGACAAGGAAAUGUUAGAUAUUAAUACCAGUAAUUUUAGAUAUAGGACACGGGAAUUGUUGAUAUUGCAUGUGUGUUAUCAGUUAUAUGAUAUACUGUGUAUCAGAUUAUAUGAUAAAAAUAUAAUUGUAUAUAUUAUGAAUACUGUGAGAUGAUAUCUAGGAAAAGUGACUUGUAUAUAUAAAUUUGUACAUACACGUUUUAAUUUAGAUAAAGAACAAAAAUUUGCUUGUUGGGCCUACCUUCAAAGAAGUGGGGGUAUAUUGCUUUGUAUGUGUUGGUUGGUUGAACUGUCAAUCAGUCAAUACACCAAACUGUCUCUGAUCAUUAAUUUAAAACCAAUGGGACUGGGGACUUCAAAUCUUGAUAUGAAGAUUGAUCAUGGCCAGUUGAUGAAUUCAAUUGUUUAUGGGUGUCACUUGGUCAGUAGUAAAAAUUACGGUUACCUGGUCACAUGACUUAUUAGCUGCGUAAGGGCAUACAUGUUUUUACAAACAUCUUUUGUUAUAUUUUAGAGAUUCCUUCUUUAUUUUAUAUUGUAAAGAUGAAAAAAUUGAAUUAAAAAGAAAUUAUAAUUAUGCCAAAACGAUUAAUGUGUACAAUACUUUAGUAUCAAUUUGUAUAGUUAAAGGGACUCCACUGAGGUUUUUUGACAUGACAGGGUGGGAAUGUAAUUUUUGAGAUAUUUAUACUAUUUGAUGAAGGUCUUUUUCAAUAACGACUUUGGCGACUUAAAAAUUGUUGGUUUUUGCAUGAAAGCUGGUAUCUCCUGAGGGGUGGAUUUGACCUUAACAUUACUUAUUAGUAAUUGGUCACUAUCCAGGUAUCAUAACUAUAGCAUGAAUCUGUAUUAUUGCCCUUUUAAAUGUUAGACAAUUCUGCAUUAUCCAGUACUGUGUAUAGUUGAGCAAGCUGUCCUGUUGAUAGUACUGUAAUUGUUCAAAAUGAACAAAAAUAAAAAGCAUUUAAACUCUAAUAACUCAAAUUGGGCUAAAUCUAGAGUUUGGUUUUCACAUUUAUUCCUAGUAUAUUUCUUUAGCACCAGUUAUUAACCAGGUUUUCCGAAGGAAAAAACCUGGUUAUUAGAUUGAGGUAUGUCGGCGGGCGGGCGGGCGUAAACAAUUUCUUCUGUGCGCAACUCCUUCUACAUUUCUCAACAGAUUUUGACCAAACUUUCACAGAAGCUUUGACAUCAAGUGCCCUGGCGCAUAUUGUCCGGGUUUUGCGAUUGGAUAAUAUUUGACCUAAUUAUGGCCCUUUGUUUUUUUUUCCUUAUAUAGAAUAUAUAGUGAACAAUUUCUUCUGUGCGCAACUCCUACUACAUUUCUCAACGGAUUUUGACCAAACUUUCACAGAAGCUUUGUCAUCAAGUGCCCUGGGGCAUAUUGUCGGGGUUUUGCGAUUAGAUAAUAUUUGACCCAAUUACGGCCCUUUGUUUUUUUUCCGUAUAAAGAAUAUAUAGUGAACAAUUUCUUCUGUGCGCAACUCCUCCUACAUUUCCCCAUGGAUUUUGACCAAACUUUCACAGAACCUUUGUCACCAAGUGUCCUGGGGCAUAUUUUCGGGGUUUUGCGAUUGGAUAAUAUUUGACCUAAUUAUUGCCCUUUGUUGUUUUUUGCCUUAUAUAGAAUAUAUAGUGAACAAUUUCUUCUGUGCUGAAUUCCCUCUAUAAUUCUCAACGGAUUUUGUUCAAACUUUCACAGAAGCUUUGUCAUCAAGUGCACUGGCACAUAUUGUCAGGGUUUUGUGAUUUGGUAAUAUUUGACCUAAUUAUAGCCCUUUGUUUUUUUCCUUAUACAGAAUAUAUAGUGAACAAUUUCUAUCGUGCGCAACUUCUCCUACAUUUCUCAACGGAUUUUGACCAAACUUUCACAGAAGCUUUGUUAUCAAGUGCCCUCGCGCAUAUUGUCGGUGUUUUUUGCGAUUGGAUAAUAUUUGACCUAAUUAUGGCCCUUUGUUUUUUUUCAUUAUACAGAAUUAUCAAUAUAUAGUGAACAAAUUCUUCUGUGCUGAACUCGUCCUACAUUUCUCAACGUAUUUUGUUCAAAAUUUCACAGAAGCUUUGUCAUCAAGCGCCCUGGCACAUAUUGUCUGGGUUUUGUGAUUGGAUAAUUUUUGACCUAAUUAUGGCCCUUUGUUUUUUUCCUUAUACAGAAUAUAUAGUGAACACUUCUUCAGUGGCAAUUCCUCCUACAUUAUUCAUGUUUUACAUUGCACAUAGUUACAUUGUUUGUUGCUUGUAUUUGUAUUUCAAAUACAACAUAUUUAUCUACAAUGGUGAUUAUUGAAAACCUGGUUUCAUGGCAUUGCCAUGUUUCUUGUAUAUAUAUUUUCUGUUUUAAGUGACCAAAUUGAUCCUUGUUUGAUUUUCAAUUUUUAGACUUUUGGAGCUCAUUGUGAACUAUUUGCUUGUUUGUUUUACAAUUGUAUAUAGAUAAGUAUAAACAUGCAUAACUGUAAAUUUACAUGUAUUAGCAUAGAGAUUGUAACAUAAAAUGUGCUAAACAAUGAAUUUUUUAGCAUAUUGUUUGUAGGACUAUCUAUGUAUUAAAAAUGAGCGUAACCUGUUAUUUGCUAAUCAAAACAAAUUAAACACAUUUAUGGGUGUUAAUAUGGUUUUGUUGUAAGUCCUUACAUAUCAUUAAAUAUAAACAUAUACAUGUAUGUUAAUUUUGUAAGCAUGAUAAUAUAUUGAAAUUAGAGAUAUUUCAUAUUAUUGUCGUCGGAUUUUACAAUUGCGCAAGGUUAAUUGUAAAGGGCUUACAUAAAUAAAUUUAAAUAGUUAAACUUGAA